rnacentral:rRNA from 1 species
AUGCAAGUCGAACGAACUUAACCAUUAGUUUACUAUUGGAGCGGUUAGUGGCGGACUGGUGAGUAACACGUAAGCAACCUGCCUAUCAGAGGGGAACAACAGUUAGAAAUGACUGCUAAUACCGCAUAUGCCUUAGAAUCACAUGGUUCAAAAGGGAAAGGAGCAAUCCGCUGAUAGAUGGGCUUGCGUCUGAUUAGCUAGUUGGUGGGGUAACGGCCUACCAAGGCGACGAUCAGUAGCCGAACUGAGAGGUUGAACGGCCACAUUGGGACUGAGAUACGGCCCAGACUCCUACGGGAGGCAGCAGUCGGGAAUAUUGCGCAAUGGAGGAAACUCUGACGCAGUGACGCCGCGUGCAGGAAGAAGGUUUUCGGAUUGUAAACUGCUUUAGACAGGGAAGAACAAAGACAGUACCUGUAGAAUAAGCUCCGGCUAACUACGUGCCAGCAGCCGCGGUAAUACGUAGGGAGCGAGCGUUAUCCGGAUUUAUUGGGUGUAAAGGGUGCGUAGACGGGAAGUCAAGUUAGUUGUGAAAUCCCUCGGCUUAACUGAGGAACUGCAACUAAAACUGAUUUUCUUGAGUACUGGAGAGGAAAGUGGAAUUCCUAGUGUAGCGGUGAAAUGCGUAGAUAUUAGGAGGAACACCGGUGGCGAAGGCGACUUUCUGGACAGAAACUGACGUUGAGGCACGAAAGUGUGGGGAGCAAACAGGAUUAGAUACCCUGGUAGUCCACACCGUAAACGAUGGAUACUAGGUGUAGGGGAUAUUAAAAUUCUCUGUGCCGCCGCUAACGCAAUAAGUAUCCC